rnacentral:lncRNA from 1 species
GAACUCUGUGAUCUGAAGGUGGGCAGGGGGCUGGCUGGGAGGGGACUUGAAUGGUGGCUUGGGAAGGAAGUCCUUCUCUGAAGGUGCCCAAGAAAGGGUCAGCCAAAGAGAGCUGCCGACCCAUGUGCGGGAAGCCUAGGGGACGGGCUACAGAGAGCGAUGAAUGGGAGCCAUUUGAAAGAAAGGAUGUGACAAAUUAAAGCGCAAUAAUGACUGUGGCUCAGGACUCAGAGCUUUUAUCCAGCCUUGAGCUAUUCUUGCUCUGCGUGGGGGAGGGAGGGCUGUAGGCUGCUUCGUCUUCCGAGUAAGGAUGUGAAAAUGAAGAGGAGCCUGGUCUGAGGCUGAGGGGGGAGACAGCAGAUGAGUGCGUGGCCCAGGAGCCAGAGGAAAAGGAGCUGAAGAAAGAGCCUGGUGUCACAGAAAAUAGAACAUUAACGACGUCUGCUGUGUUGUAUCUCCAAGCAGGGAAACAACUCAUUGGUCAGAACUACUUGCCUGGUUCAACCACAGGGCUCUGUGGGGGACAGGGCAGUGAAAAGGACCUUUCACAGAGAUUACUCAUAAGAAACAAGGCUAAAUCUCCCCAGAGGAAAACUACAAGGGUCCUACCGCCGGGGUAGUGACGAGCACAUGCACGCGUGAGUCUGGUUGCUCUCAUCUUUGAAUUCUCUGCUGAAAUAGCACGUCCUCACAGGGAACUUGCCCAACCACCCUCUUCAAAGCAGAAGCCCCAGGUUCAUUUCUGACCUAGCAUCCCAUUUAUUUUCUUCAGAACAUGUGCUAUAAUAUGUAAAUAGCUUCUUUAUUGUUCACUGUUAAAUUUUUCUAUCUAGAAUGAAAUGUGUUUAUUGCAGGAAAAUGGAAUCUUGUAAGAACGGUUUGUCCAGAUCACUUCGGGAUCCCCAGCACCUGGCACGUGGUGGCACCCACUAGCUUCUCAAUGAAAGCUUGUUCAAUAAAUGAAUGACCCCCACUAUUGGUGAGAGUGUCUGAAUUUAGACACCGUUUAA